rnacentral:rRNA from 1 species
AACCGCUUUUGGGGGGGAAGAAUCGGACGGUACCCCCCGAAUAAGCCCCGGCUAACUCUGUGCCAGCAGCCGCGGUAAUACAGAGGGGGCAAGCGUUGUCCGGAUUGACUGGGCGUAAAGCGCACGUAGGUGGUUGGUUACGUGGUGUGUGAAAGCUCAGGGCUUAACCCUGAUAGGCCAUGCCAAACGAACCGACUUGAGGCUGAGCAGAGGCGGGUGGAAUUGCCGGUGUAGUGGUGAAAUGCGUAGAGAUCGGCAGGAACACCAAGGGGGAACCCAGCCCGCUGGGCCAGUCCUGACACUGAGGUGCGACAGCGUGGGGAGCGAACAGGAUUAGAUACCCUGGUAGUCCACGCCGCAAACGAUGUCUGCUCGCCUUGUGGGAGUUAUCCAUACUCCUGGGAGGCUUAGCUCACGCGGUAAGCAGACCGCCUGGGAACUACGAGCGCAAGCUUAAAACUCAAAGGAAUUGACGGGGGCCCGCACAAGCAGCGGAGCGUGUGGUUUAAUUCGACGCAACGCGAAACACCUUACCUGGCCUUGACAUGCACCUGCAAGCCGGUGAAAGCCGGUCGCCUUCGAGGGUGGUGCACAGAUGCUGCAUGGCUGUCGUCAGCUCG